UGACGUCACUUCGUGAUCGACAUCGAUGAAACGCUUGCUUGCGCUGUAGAUGUUAUUUUCUGUGCAAAUGCAAGCGUCUAUUGAUAACGAAACGAUAAUUUGUCAACAAUGAGAAUCAGAUACUUGGCUUAAUAAUUUUCAUUUAAAAUGUCUAAUUUGGAUAUAAUUCGGAAUACAAAACGAAACUUAAAAGGUAUUUAAAACAACAACGUUCAAAAGAACAAUGUGGAUUUCAAUAGAAAGACUAUUUCCACCGACAAUCAGGAUUUCCGGUAUGACAACUGUUUUUUUGACGAUUUUUCUAUCGGUUCGUCGGUAAGCGUGACCACAUGUGACAACAGCGAUGCUAGUUGGAUAUAAAAUUGGUAGACGUGUCGUUGAACUCGACACAUUGACCGAAUCGCUUUUAGCAUGCAGUGCUUGUCAAGUGCCCAUGAAUUUACUUAACACUGUAGAAAACAUGGAUUUCAGACAGGCAUGUGUUUUGGACAUACAGUUUAGCAAUUGUGGUGCAGUAAAUAAUGCGGCUACUGGACGGAAACAUGGCAGAGUUUAUGACAUGAUCACAAAGCUUGCAUUUGGGUAAAUCAAAAACUGGGUGUUUCACCUGGGACUUUCACAUCGAAACUGGCCCUUCUCCAUGACCUUCAGCACAAAAAAAGAAAGGCUAUAGCUGUUACUCGUGCAGCAAAACAGUGACGCAUAAGACUUAAAACUCGAACGGCAUUCAAAGGACAGUGCAAGAAGUAAGAGCGGGACCAACAUACAGUUCAAACAUAGAGGACCAAGACGUUGAAGUUACAACUAUCCCCCCACCUAUACCCAAGCCUGGUCCAGCAGGGCUAGACACUACUGGGAAGGAAUUUGUUUUCUUUGAUUUGGAAACAAGAGGGUUAGAGCACACUUCUCACAUAAUUCAGAUAGCUGCAGUGCAUUCAACUGGUCAAUUUUCAACAUAUGUGAUUCAUGAGAAGAAGAUUUCCUUGCGAGCGUCUGAAAUAACUGGAGUGACAGUUGUUAGCGACUCUAUGCUUGUCAAGAGACAAACAGUAACAGCUGUCCCCAUCAAAUCUGCAUUGACAAGUUUUAUAACAUUCUUACAGAAAUGUUCACCAAUUAUUUCAGUUGGGCAUAAUAUAGAGUCUUUUGAUUGUAAAGUGUUGCUCCGUGCUAUCCAUACUUGUUGAAAAAUGUUUGAGUUUCAGCAAAAUAUUUGUGGAUUUUUAGAUACUUAAAAAUGUUAAAGGAAAUAUUACCAAAUAUGAAAUCAUAUAAGCGGGAACAUUUAGUUAAAGACGUCAUUGGUGAAUUAUACAUGGCACAUGGCGCUAUACAGGAUAUUUUAGCUUUACAAAAGUGAGUGAACUCUGUUCCUCUUGACCAAAAAUUGUUAACAAAUAUUCAUUCAGCUUUUACCGAGCAGUGUUAACAUACAAUGUGUAACUAAAUGUUGCUUCCAACAUCAAAUCUUUACAAACCAUAAUUGAUACAAAAGUUAUAAGUCAAGGUGUUGCAAGGAAAGUUGCAGGAAGUGGAUUUCAACUUAAACAUUUGAGUCCUGUAUCAAAAAGAAACGGACUGAGUGGUUUGAGGAGCCCCCUGUCAGAGGUUACAAACGGACAAAUCAGAGUAACAAAAUCAGAGAAAAUAAUAUGUACAAUAGCGAGUUAUUUGUUGCCUGGCAUCUAACCAAUUGUAAUUUGCAUCUUGUAUAUAGAUAAGCUAUGAAAUCUAAUAGCUGUUACAUAAUUGUUUUUCCUUCUCGAUGACGAACAUAGUUGUGAUUCUUAUGUCAGUUGUAUUUCUCAUGUUUCACCUAGGUUGUAAGAUAUUUUUGGCAGUGCAUUAAACCAAAGGCCAGCGGGGCUUAUGUUAUGAUUCUGUGUCCGUCGUGCGUGCGUGCCUGAACGUUUCCUUUAAACAUCUUCUUCUCCUAAACUACUGGUCCAAUUGUGAUGAAAUUUCUUAGGAAUGUUCCUCUUUCAACAUUGUUCAAAUUAUGCCCCUGGGGUCAAAUUUGAACCUGCCGCGGGGUCACAAAAUUGAACAUAUGCUUAUAUAGGGUCUAUUUUGUGAAAACUUCACAUAUUUUUUCGUCCAUAACCAUUGGGCCUUGGGCUUCCAAAUUUGGUAUGUAGUGGCAUCUUAUAGUCCUCUACCAAGUUUGUUCAAAUUAUGCCCCUAGGGUCAAGUUUGACCCUGCCCUGAGGGUCACAAAAUUGAACAUAUGCUUAUAUUAGGCAUUUUUUGUGAAAACUUUAAAAAUCUUCUUGUUCAUAUUAGUAUGGCAUAGGGCUACCAAAUUUGGUAUGUAGUGACAUGUAAUAGUUCUCUACCAAGUUUGUUCAAAUUAUGCCCCUUGGGUUAAAUUUGAAACUGCCCCGGGGGUUACAAAACUGAACAUUGUCCAUAUCUAUUGGGCCUAGGGCUACCAAAUUUGGUAUGUAGUGACAUCUUAUAAACCUUUACCAAAUUUGUUCAAAUAAUGCCUCUGGGGUCAACUUUGACCCUGCCGCGGGGGGUCACAAAAUUUAAUAAACGCUUAUAAAGCGCCUAUUUUGUGAAAUCUUUAAAAAUCUUGUCGAAAACCAUUCUGACUAUGGCUACCAAAUUUGGUAUGCAGGAACAUCUUAAAGUCAUCUACCAAGUUUGUUACUUUGGGUCAAAUUUGACCCUGACCCGCGGGUCACAAAAUUGAACAUUAUAUACGCUUGUAUCUUGCUUAUUUUGUGAAAACUUUAAAAAUAUUCUUGUCCUUAACUCUACAUCUAAGACUUAGGGCCACCACAUUUUGUAUGGAGUGAGAUAUAGUAGUCCUCUACAAAGUUUGCUCAAAUUAUGCCCCUGGAGUUAAAUUUGACCCAGCCCAGGUGGUCACAAAAUUGUACAUGUGCUUAAAUAGGGCCUAUAUUUAAGUAUCUGCACAUGCGGAGAAUAUUUGUUUCAGUCUUUUUUUCAGCAGUGGAGCGAUACAGGGCCAUCAUGGCCUCUUGUCUUUAAAUACACAUCACACAGUUCUAAAAAUAAUUUUAAAAUACCUAGUACAUAUGUUCAAUUUACAACCAACAACAUGGGUAACAGGUGGGUGGGGUAAUUUAAGAUGUUUAUUUGAACAUCAACAUUGUUUUUUCAGUUGUUACAUCUGAAAUAUGUUCAUAACAAUAUACAUUAUAAAUAUUUCUACGUGUAUCACAUUUCAGUUGAUAAUUUAAUUGUUAUGGAGCAGUUAUUAUAUAGAUAUGUUUUAAUUACUAUUACAAUGUUAGUCAUUGUAUUUUUGAAAUUAAGUCCAUAUUAAAAUUUCUAUAGCAAAAAAAAAUCCACGGUGACCUAUCAAUUUCUUUACUUCAUUUUAAUGCUUAGCUAGUUUCCUUUAAUUAUUGAGAACUUCAAAUGAAUAUGAAUAUUACAUCAACAUAAAUAUGUAUCUGUAUUGCAUGUUCUCUAUUUUGAACUGUGCAAUAAAAAAUUCAAAACAAACAAAAAACUAGUCAUACUUAUUUCUCAUUAUUUUUUACGAUUUCCAUAAUUUUUGGUUUUAAAACUGUUCAAUAUGAUAAUACACAUGUUACAGUUGCUAAUCUAAUGCAAUCUCAAUACUAUUAUGCCAUUUUAAAUGUAUUACACAAAAACAUUUUACCGUACCCCCAAAUUUAU